UACGUAGGUGGCAAGCGUUGUCCGGAUUUACUGGGCGUAAAGAGCGCGCAGGCGGUCGUGCAAGUCGCGUGUGAAAGCCCCCGGCUCAACUGGGGAGGGUCACGCGAUACUGCUCGACUCGAAGGCAGGAGAGGGAAGUGGAAUUCCAGGUGUAGCGGUGAAAUGCGUAGAUAUCUGGAGGAACACCGGUGGCGAAGGCGGCAUCCUGGACCAACACUGACACUGAGAGACGAAAGCUAGGGGAGCAAAUGGG
rnacentral:rRNA from 1 species